rnacentral:rRNA from 1 species
UGAGUCGAUCCUAAGCCAACUGUGAAAGCAGUGACAUCCCGACAAAGGGGCAUUACGUGCGCUGCACUUACACCCCCACGGCAAAGCUCUGAGAUAUAUAUAAAUCUCUCUCUCUCUGACGAUAAAGGUGUCUGGUACGGAAUAUGCGCACGCACGGUGAUCACUACAAAUACGUGUGUGAGUGUGUGCGCUUGUAUGGUUACGCUCAUAAGCGUUGUUGCUCUCUGGUAAAAGGAUAAAGCAUAAGAGAGAGAGAGAGAGACACACACAGAGUGUGGGUGAGCGUGAGUUUUCUCUCGCAUGAGCCCCCUGCGUCUGGUUCUAUGUCUGGCGAAAGGGAAUGGGGACUUUGUUCCUUGACCGGUCCCGGCACCCUCGAUUGGCUUUGCCAAUUAAUGGUCCAUGCAAAUGGAACCAGGCCACAGCCGCUGGCAGUCGCCCGAGGAA